AAAAGAUUAGAGAACUUAAGCAGUGAUAAGCUGAAUAAAAUAGCUGCCACCUCAAAUUGCGAGUGUAAAAUUUCAUUUAAUUACAUAGAAAUACCCCAAGUGCUUAGCGGCUAAAGAGAGAUAAAGAUGACCCAGAGCAGGUAGUGUACUGUGUGAUUUUUCUUUCUUUUUUUUUUUUGUGCGCUGACAUUGAACAGGAAGCUCGGAUUUCAAACUCAGAUGCAGGCACAAAAUCAAAAAAAUAAAAGACAAGGGGAAAAAAAGAAUGUAAUAGGAGACAAGAAAAUGAGGGGUGUGGAAAGAGGAGAAGGAUGAGGGAAACGAGACCAGGGCUAAUAUGGCUAAUAAUAACGUUUACAUGUGAGGGACAAACAGGGUUGUAAAAAAAAAAAGUGCAAAGAAAUAUGAAUAUGCAUUAUAAUGCCAGUGGGAACGGUGCAGAAAAAACUCCCAAGCAACAGGGGAACAUGUAAAUGCAAAUAAUACACUUAGAGGAAAAACGGGGACCCAGAAGAACAUAAAGUAAGAAUUGGGAGAUAAACUUUUUCAGUAUUUAAAAGAACAAUACAUAAAGAACCUGUAACCUAAGGCCAUGGAAUGUUCGAUGGCAAAACCUCAGGGAAAACUCAACAAAAAGAAUGAGGGAACCCACUGAUGAGGAGAGGGGGUACAAAAAAAGGAAGCAUCUGCACAUAGUUUCUUGGCCUGCGGUGCUUGUUUUGCGAUGACAAAAGUUGAUAAACUGUGGAACAAAGAAAUCAACAGAAACUGGAAGAAAGAAAACUGCAACUGCCAACUGCAAACUGCAACUGCUGAUGAGGCUGAUAAAGAUGACGAUUAAAUCGGACUUGCAAUAAAUAUUUAUGUUCAACUCUGGACCACAAAUCAUUGGGCCAGGCCUCCUCUAACCCUUCACUCCUCGCAAUUAAAAAACAAUUUCCGGCAGAUAGAUAUGGAGAGGGAAGAACAAGAACAAACACAAUCAACGCAUCCAGAAACAGCAGCAGCAAGAAAAGAGAUUCAAAAUCAAAUUAAAAUCAAAAUUAAAUUUCGAAAAAGGGCAGCAACGCACACGAGUCGGUCCGAGGAGAGGAAAUGUUUGAUGGCCUAGGUAAAUGUCAGAAUCGCCAGCCAGAAGCAGAAGCACCAAUAAAGAACAACAUGGGCUCAACAAAAAGGGCAGAUGUUUUUUUUUUUUUUGUACUUUUCGAAUUUUAAAAUUUCGGUGGCCCCGAAGGAAGAGGAAGGUGUAAAACGCACGCCAGAGAGGAAGACAGAAAAUUGUUUAAACAGGUUUUUAUUUUCUUGAAUGUGUUACAGAAAUUCUGUGAAAUUGAAUGUUGUUGGUAAAUGGUAACGAGAAUGUUGUACUUUUUGCAGAAUUAGAUAAAAUCUUGAAGUUGCCAAACGCAAU